rnacentral:tRNA from 1 species
GCGAGCAUAGUUUAAUGGUAGAACCACAGCCUUCCAAGCUGUUAGUGCCAGUUCGAUUCUGGUUGUUCGCU